CGGGGAGUAGCACAGCCUGGUAGUGCGCUAGCUUUGGGAGCUAGAAGUCGCGGGUUCAAAUCCCGCUUCCCCGA
rnacentral:tRNA from 1 species